rnacentral:rRNA from 1 species
UACGUAGGGUGCGAGCGUUGUCCGGAAUUAUUGGGCGUAAAGAGCUUGUAGGCGGCUUGUCGCGUCUGCUGUGAAAAUCCGAGGCUCAACCUCGGACUUGCAGUGGGUACGGGCAGGCUAGAGUGUGGUAGGGGAGACUGGAAUUCCUGGUGUAGCGGUGAAAUGCGCAGAUAUCAGGAGGAACACCGAUGGCGAAGGCAGGUCUCUGGGCCACGACUGACGCUGAGAAGCGAAAGCAUGGGGAGCGAACAGG